ensembl:lncRNA
AUCUGCGCUCAGAGGGAAGCGAUCGCUCCUCGCGUCCCGCUGACAAAAGCUUGCUACAGCUGGGAAAGGGAGAAACAAAAGCAAACCACGGUGGUCUAUUGAAGGCUUUUAGAGAGCAGUUUUGUGCAAGCAAGGCCAGAGUUGUGGCGGUUUCUAUGGUGACUUCACCCGUACUUCACCCACCAGCAACCCCUCUCCACAGGCCUCAGUGAGCUAAGCAUGCCAUUAUGCCUUGAUGGAAGUACCAGUGAAAUCAGAGGUGUUACUUGUGGAAGUAAUGGAGAUUGAAAAGUUAUAUAGCAUCAUCUAGCGGCCAUAUACAAAUCUACAGGAGCUUACAGUUCCACCAUUCCCUCUCACUCAAAUUACGUGACACCUGCCUUGACUACAAAAGAAAAUGAGAGCUAAUUUUGUUAUUUUCAGCUAUCAGCCUGUAGACUGUAAGAAAAAAAAAAGUAAGGAUUAGGUUAGAAGCUAUAUCACAUCCACGCUGUUUUCAUUUACAAUUGUAGAACAAAUAUGUCAAAUAUCUUAAGGUAUUUUUUGGUUUUGUUAUCUUUGCAGAUGAGCUUAAGCUAAAGUAUUUUGGUGUGGGGUUUUAGUGUAAAGGUGGUAAAAGCCCAGGUUCGGGGCCUAUUUCUCAUUCUGAUGUACUCACUUGGCUUUGAAAAAAUAAGCUAGAAGAUUUUGAAAAGAUUUAUUCAGAGGUCCAGAAUGAGGACAGGAAUCCAAGCUUUCUGGCUCCAUUACUGAGCUUUUGUAAUUAGAUUAGAUUAGAAGAAAAUGCCACAUAAAUCCAGGGGAGAGUCGCAGACUUCAUAAACCAGCCCAGAACUUGGCUGUGUUCACUGCUCUGGAGCUGGUUUCCACAUCCUUCAAAGAUAAGAGGUUUCCAGAUUGUGAUUAACUGUGUGCUACAUUAAUGAGUGCAUAUUAGCUUGUAGUGAGGUCUGUAUACUUAGGCAAAAAUACCGUCACCGUGGCACAGGCUGGGAGAGGGCAAACUCAGCUGGUGCUGGGAAUCAUAGCAGCUACAUGACAGAGCACUGUGUGGGAGAAUAAGGGACCGUUGUAUUGAUUUUUUUGUAUAAAAAUUGUGAUAGUUAAACACAUUAAAUAUGACUCACACUGAGUAAGGUCAUGUGUCCCAUUCAUCUGAGGAAAUGGCUGUAACAGGAGGAAGUCUGGCAUUUUUUUCUCAUGAAAUUACUGAGUCCUCAGAAGUUCUAGUUUGAUAGGAAUUCCUCGAGAAUAGAAUGAAUUCACUUCAAACCCAUUUAAAACAAAGUAUCUGUGUCUCCAUCACCUAUCUGAAAGUCCAGGACUUAAUUUUUUGUUGACAUGUGCCAGUGGAUUAGAAAGCCCUGUCCUACAACAUUUGUCCUCCUUUGUUCAGAAGGAUUUUUGUUACAAUCCCAAACUUGAGGGCUUCUGUGGCACUUACGGUUCUGUUUCCUGUGUAAUAUAAGCAGUCAGAUACAAGAAUUAUCAUGACGCUAGUUCUCAUGUACUGUUAUUUGUGGGCAAGUAUAGAAUCAUAAAAUCAUAGAAUAUCCUGAGUUGGAAGGCACCCAUAAGGACCAUCAAGCUCAAAUUCUGGCUCCACACAGGACCAUGCAGAAAUCAGAUCACAAUCAAAUGCAAUGUAUAGAAAUGAGUGUAACACCUGUACCUUGCAGGGGUCUUUAUGCGCAGUACCUUCUCAUUCUGGAGUUGAUAUUUAUAUAGAUGAAAACAAGGUAUGUGAAAAUCUCAGAAAUUGAGUCAUUGGGAGCAUCCAGGUACUGGAGUAUUAGAAGUGAUUUAAGAAAUGAAAGUGUAUGAAGUGAAAUAAAAGCAUGAAGAAAAUAGACAUUAUAAUUAUUUCAAUUAUAAUGUUUUUCAGAAGAAGUAUUUAUUUGUUUUAAAAUUGUGUGUUCUCUCAUUUCUCAACUUGUGACGUCCCUCCAUAUACUAUCAGCUCUCAUUUCAAGAUAAUACUAGCUUUGUUUUUCAGUUAUCCUUUAACAUCUAUUCAUUUCCUCCCCUAAUAUCUGUCCAUGUAUAUGCUUGUUCCUUACAUGCCUUUCCUAGGUAUAUAAUCCCAUGAUAAUAUUUCAGAAAUGACAAAUAUUGUGUAGGAAGUAUAUUAAUUAAACCAAAUAGGUUUGGAUAUAUAUUUUUAUGUUUGCAGUUUUCUAAGCAAGUCUGAAAUCUAUUUUUCUUGAAAAUCACCCUUAUUUAAUCUGUCAUUGCAAAUGAAAAAGCAGAGCCAAAUUAUGGUGUUCUGUACCAACACAGAACAUCAAUUAGAAACAACAAGAGUGUUAUUCUUUCCCAUGACAGAAGCAGAAUUAGGCAAUAAAUGUAAGAAUGAUUUAUAUCUCCUGUGUUUUAUUUCACUACAUUUUUUUUAAGUUGAUUUGUAUCAAAAUUUAUUGUGUCUGCUUACAGUGUAAAAAAAUUAUCUCUUUAAAAGUUAUUUUUGCUAGCUCUACCUUCCUUUCUUUCUAUAAACCUUCUCCACCCUUUCACCCCCCCACCUUAUUUCCUCUCAGGAAAAUGGCUGCAGCUGAAAGAAGAUGGAUCACAACCAUCUGAAUAUUUUCUCUGCAGUUUCUGCAUUUCAAAAAUGAAAAUGUCUCCUGAUUUAAAAUUAUGAAUUAAUUGUUUACUUCUUUCAACUG